CUGCUCACUGCGCAACAAAACAGCAAGCCGGCAGCGCGCGGAGCCGUCGAGGCUGCUGCACAGUUCGUCGAGCACCCUGCGCACAUCGGAAAGGAGCAAGGGAAGGGGCUUUGCGCAGGGCUGCUGUUUUUGGAUCGGAGGGCUGGGCGCAGGAACUUGGACGUCGUGGCUGCAGGAACAGUGGCGUUUCGCCGAGGAGCUGCGCAGCGAGGGAAAAGGAGAAGCUCGCUGCAAGGGGGCUGCUUGGCCAUGGAGAUGUGGUCGGGGCGAGCAGCGGCUAGGGCACCCCGCAGCGAGCUCGCGUGCAGGGAACAAAAGCGGCUUGCUGGAGGCAGGAAGCCGGCUGGUUUUCCACGGGAGGCGUCGUGGAGCAAGGAGCAGAGGAAGCCACGACCAAGGGGAGAGAAGGGGGCGCCAUGGGAAGCUCCAAGUAGGGGGAAGAAGGGAUUGGGGCGCCAUGGUUGGGAGCUCGCGUCCAUGGAAGGUGCUUGCUGCCGUGAAGCAGGAGGAAGAAGGGGCGCCGUGAAGAGAGGAGCAGAGGUCCGGCCAUGGGAGUCCCUGCUGCAGCCGCUCGCCACAAGGAGGAGCAGGGAGGGCGUCGCGCAGCUGGAGAAGGGAGCUCGCAGCCAUGGGGAGAGGUGGAGCUGA
rnacentral:misc_RNA from 1 species